GAUGGCUUCAGGGCAGGGUUGCAGUGAAAUGUCAACCAUUUAUAUAGGCAUGCAGUAGGUGCAAAGUGUAUGGCUGUUGUCUCUUGGCACUCGUAACAUUUAUUCUCUCACUCAAUGCAGGUUGUGGCUGAAGAAUGAAAUCCAAACUCUCCAUUCACUGUUGCUUGAGUUGAUCAAAGCUUUUAUUACAAGAGCUAAAGUCGAGAUUGACAUUCUGAUGCCUGGUUAUACUCAUUUGCAGCGUGCUCAACCUAUCAGAUGGAGUCACUGGCUCUUGAGCUAUACCUGGGCAUUGAAGAGAGAUUGUGAAAGACUGGAGGAACUCUCUAAACGAGUUGAUGUCAAUCCUCUUGGAAGUGGUGCCAUUGCUGGAAAUCCUUUCAAUGUUGACCGCCAGUUUCUUGCCAAAGGUAAAAUUAUGGCUUAUU